rnacentral:sRNA from 1 species
UUGAAGUAUUUUUCGCUAUAAUAAUUAAUGUAAAUAAAGAUUUACGAAGUCAUGAGUUUAUCGAGCAAUCAAUCCCCAAUUCAAUCAAAAUAUUGUUUUCUCUCUCUCCAUAAACAAAUAGUAUUUUUGAUAUGAUGGCUCGGCAGACAAA